UUGCAGAAAGAACUAUUGGUUCGUAUAUCUUCGAGGAUAAGGCUCGAAAGUUUCUACCGAAUGGCCGUAAACCAUUUGACUACGAAUUUUAAUUAGGGAUUA
rnacentral:ncRNA from 2 species